UUAUAUAUCAACACUGUUUCUAACUUAAAUUCCUUCUAAUUAGCUCCCCCUUAUUUGAUAAGGGUCACCUUGAUUGUUGUUUGCAAGGAGUGAACGGCCCAACAACACUUGGCGAAUAUGAUUAGUAUACCGUGAGAUCAUCCCAUGAUGUUUUCCUGCUUGAGAGGAUGAUGGGACCUCCUCCACCAUUCCCAAUCCCAACUUUCAAUGGGAGGAUUUUCGUAUUGUUCCUGAUGUGUGCUUGCAAGUAGUGGUUCCCAGUAGCAGAUAUUCGUAUUUCUGAUGUGUACUUGCCAGUAGUAGUUACCAGGAGCGGCUCAUUUUUCACCAUUUUAUUUCUGAGAUUGCUCUAUCCCCAUUUUAACAGUAGCAUUACCUUCAAUAUCUAUCUUUUGGUGUUCAAAGUAGUUUGAAGUUGCUCUGUCGAUUGUGAUCACUCCUUAUUCAUAUUUUCUUUCACAAUAACACCCAGUUUCUCAUUUUAAUUCCAUCAUGAAUAUUAACAGAA